AACGAACGCUGGCGGCAUGCCUAAUACAUGCAAGUCGAACGAGAUCUUCGGAUCUAGUGGCGCACGGGUGCGUAACGCGUGGGAAUCUGCCCUUGGGUUCGGAAUAACAGCUGGAAACGGCUGCUAAUACCGGAUGAUGACGUAAGUCCAAAGAUUUAUCGCCCAGGGAUGAGCCCGCGUAGGAUUAGCUAGUUGGUGGGGUAAAGGCCUACCAAGGCGACGAUCCUUAGCUGGUCUGAGAGGAUGAUCAGCCACACUGGGACUGAGACACGGCCCAGACUCCUACGGGAGGCAGCAGUAGGGAAUAUUGGACAAUGGGGGCAACCCUGAUCCAGCAAUGCCGCGUGAGUGAUGAAGGCCUUAGGGUUGUAAAGCUCUUUUACCCGAGAUGAUAAUGACAGUAUCGGGAGAAUAAGCUCCGGCUAACUCCGUGCCAGCAGCCGCGGUAACAC
rnacentral:rRNA from 1 species